CACCUCUAGCAUUACUAGUAUUAGAGGCACUGCCUGCCCAGUGACACGAGUUAAACGGCCGCGGUAUUCUGACCGUGCAAAGGUAGCAUAAUCAUUUGUUCUAUAAAUAAGGACUUGUAUGAAUGGCCACACGAGGGUUCUACUGUCUCUUACUUCCAAUCGGUGAAAUUGACCUUCCCGUGAAGAGGCGGGAAUAUAACAAUAAGACGAGAAGACCCUAUGGAGCUUUAAUUAACUAACCCAAUAGAAUUUAUUCAAUUAACCAAUAUGGGACAAAGUAAUUCUACAGUGGGACAGCAAUUUAGGUUGGGGCGACCUCGGAGUAUAGCACAACCCCCGAGUGAUAUAAAUCUAGACACACCUGUCAAAACGAACUAUCAUAAAUUGAUCCAAAAAUUUUUGAUCAACGGAACAAGUUACCCUAGGGAUAACAGCGCAAUCCUAUUCAAGAGUUCAUAUCGACAAUAGGGUUUACGACCUCGAUGUUGGAUCAGGACAUCCCAAUGGUGCAGCAGCUAUUAAAGGUUCGUUUGUUCAACGAUUAAAGUCCUACGUGAUCUGAGUUCAGACCGGAGUAAUCCAGGUCGGUUUCUAUCUAUUAACCAGUCUCUCCCAGUACGAAAGGACAAGAGAGACAAGGCCCACUUCGACGAAGCGCCUUAGGACUAAUAUAUGACAUAAUCUUAAUAUAACCAGUUCAACUACACUAUUCAACCCGAGAACAGGGUUU
rnacentral:rRNA from 1 species